rnacentral:rRNA from 1 species
GACGAACGCUGGCGGCGUGCUUAACACAUGCCAGUCGUGCGGUAAGGCCCUUUCGGGGGUACACGAGCGGCGAACGGGUGAGUAACACGUGAGCAACCUGCCCUUCACUUUGGGAUAACUGCCGGAAACGGUGGCUAAUACCGGUUAUGACUUCCUCACGCAGGUGGGGUGGUGGAAAGCCUUCGGGUGGUGGGGGAUGGGCUCGCGGUCUAUCAGCGUGUUGGUGGGGUGUUGGCCUACCAAGGCUUUGACGGGUAGCCGGCCUGAGAGGGUGACCGGCCACACUGGGACUGAGACACGGCCCAGACGCCUACGGGAGGCAGCAGUGGGGAAUAGUGGACAAUGGGCGAAAGCCUGAUCCAGCAACGCCGCGUGGGGGAUGACGGCCUUCGGGUUGUAAACCUCUUUCGCCUGCGACGAAGCGAGAGUGACGGUAGCAGGUAAAGAAGCACCGGCCAACUACGUG